GUGGAUUAGAUACCCUGGUAGUCCACACUGUAAACGAUGAUUGCUAGGUGUGGGGGGUCUGACCCCUUCCGUGCCGGAGUUAACGCAAUAAGCAAUCCACCUGGGGAGUACGGCCGCAAGGUUGAAACUCAAAGGAAUUGACGGGGGCCCGCACAAGCAGUGGAUUAUGUGGUUUAAUUCGAAGCAACGCGAAGAACCUUACCAGGUCUUGACAUCCGACUAACGAAGUAGAGAUACAUCAGGUGCCCUUCGGGGAAAGUCGAGACAGGUGGUGCACGGUCGUCGUCAACU
rnacentral:rRNA from 1 species